rnacentral:rRNA from 1 species
UACGUAGGGGGCUAGCGUUAUCCGGAAUUACUGGGCGUAAAGGGUGCGUAGGUGGUUUCUUAAGUCAGAGGUGAAAGGCUACGGCUCAACCGUAGUAAUCCUUUGAAACUGAGAAACUUGAGUGCAGGAGAGGAGAGUAGAAUUCCUAGUGUAGCGGUGAAAUGCGUAGAUAUUAGGAGGAAUACCAGUUGCGAAGGCGGCUCUCUGGACUGUAACUGACACUGAGGCACGAAAGCGUGGGGAGCAAACAGGAUUAGAUACCCGGGUAGUCCCUGAG